rnacentral:rRNA from 1 species
CUACGGGCCGCUGCAGUGGGGAAUAUUGCACAAUGGGCGCAAGCCUGAUGCAGCCAUGCCGCGUGUAUGAAGAAGGCCUUCGGGUUGUAAAGUACUUUCAGCGGGGAGGAAGGGAGUAAAGUUAAUACCUUUGCUCAUUGACGCUACCCGCAGAAGAAGCACCGGCUAACUCCGUGCCAGCAGCCGCGGUAAUACGGAGGGUGCAAGCGUUAAUCGGAAUUACUGGGCGUAAAGCGCACGCAGGCGGUUUGUUAAGUCAGAUGUGAAAUCCCCGGGCUCAACCUGGGAACUGCAUCUGAUACUGGCAAGAGUGAGUAUCGUAGAGGGGGGUAGAAUUCCAGGUGUAGCGGUGAAAUGCGUAGAGAUCUGGAGGAAUACCGGUGGCGAAGGCGGCCCCCUGGACGAAGACUGACGCUCAGGUGCGAAAGCGUGGGGAGCAAACAGGAUUAGAUACCCCCGUAGUC